AUUGAACGCUGGCGGCAGGCUUAACACAUGCAAGUCGAGCGGAGAUGAGGUGCUUGCACCUUAUCUUAGCGGCGGACGGGUGAGUAAUGCUUAGGAAUCUGCCUAUUAGUGGGGGACAACAUUCCGAAAGGAAUGCUAAUACCGCAUACGUCCUACGGGAGAAAGCAGGGGAUCUUCGGACCUUGCGCUAGUAGAUGAGCCUAAGUCGGAUUAGCUAGUUGGUGGGGUAAAGGCCUACCAAGGCGACGAUCUGUAGCGGGUCUGAGAGGAUGAUCCGCCACAAUGGGACUGAGACACGGCCCAGACUCCUACGGGAGGCAGCAGUGGGGAAUAUUGGACAAUGGGGGGAACCCUGAUCCAGCCAUGCCGCGUGUGUGAAGAAGGCCUUAUGGUUGUAAAGCACUUUAAGCGAGGAGGAGGCUACUGAGACUAAUACUCUUGGAUAGUGGACGUUACUCGCAGAAUAAGCACCGGCUAACUCUGUGCCAGCCGCCGCCGUAAUAC
rnacentral:rRNA from 1 species